rnacentral:rRNA from 1 species
AGUGGCGCACGGGUGCGUAACGCGUGGGAAUCUGCCCUUGGGUUCGGAAUAACUUCGGGAAACUGAAGCUAAUACCGGAUGAUGACGAAAGUCCAAAGAUUUAUCGCCCAGGGAUGAGCCCGCGUAGGAUUAGCUAGUUGGUGGGGUAAAGGCUUACCAAGGCAACGAUCCUUAGCUGGUCUGAGAGGAUGAUCAGCCACACUGGGACUGAGACACGGCCCAGACUCCUACGGGAGGCAGCAGUAGGGAAUAUUGGACAAUGGGCGAAAGCCUGAUCCAGCAAUGCCGCGUGAGUGAUGAGGGCCUUAGGGUUGUAGAGCUCUUUUACCCGAGAUGAUAAUGACAGUAUCGGGAGAAUAAGCUCCGGCUAACUCCGUGCCAGCAGCCGCGGUAAUACGGAGGGAGCUAGCGUUGUUCGGAAUUACUGGGCGUAAAGCGCACGUAGGCGGCGACUUAAGUCAGAGGUGAAAGCCCGGGGCUCAACCCCGGAACUGCCUUUGAGACUGGAUUGCUAGAAUCUUGGAGAGGCGAGUGGAAUUCCGAGUGUAGAGGUGAAAUUCGUAGAUAUUCGGAAGAACACCAGUGGCGAAGGCGGCUCGCUGGACAAGUAUUGACGCUGAGGUGCGAAAGCGUGGGGAGCGAACAGGAUUAGAUACCCUGGUAGUCCACGCCGUAAACGAUGAUAACUAGCUGCCGGGGC